CCACCCGCGUCUAUAUAUAUAUGUAUAUGUGUAUAUAUAUAUAUAUAUAUAUAUAUAUAUAUACACACACAGUGGUA